CCCCUAUACUGAUAGUACUACUCUGCUUUA
rnacentral:piRNA from 1 species